AGCAGUCGCCACGGUAAAACGUAGGUCCCGAGCGUUGUCCGGAUUUAUUGGGCGUAAAGCGAGCGCAGGCGGUUAGAUAAGUCUGAAGUUAAAGGCUGUGGCUUAACCAUAGUACGCUUUGGAAACUGUUUAACUUGAGUGCAAGAGGGGAGAGUGGAAUUCCAUGUGUAGCGGUGAAAUGCGUAGAUAUAUGGAGGAACACCGGUGGCGAAAGCGGCUCUCUGGCUUGUAACUGACGCUGAGGCUCGAAAGCGUGAGGAGCAAACAGGAUUAGAUACCCGUGUAGUCCCUGUCUCUUAUACA
rnacentral:rRNA from 1 species